GAAGCUGGCCAGACAGUCGCUGCCGGUUGUUCCUCCCGGAACAACGGGGAGAGGAAAGUCCGGACUCCAUAGAGCAGGAUGUCGGCUAACAGCCGAACGCCGCGAGGCGAGGAAUAGGGCCACAGAGACGAGCGUAUUGAGUUACGGUGAAACGCGGUAACCUCCAUCCGGAGCAAGACCAAAUAGGCAGGCGGUGAGGCGGCUCGCGGAGCCUGCGGGUGGGUUGCUUGAAUGUACAGGUAACUGUGCAUCUAGAUGAAUGACUGUCCACGACAGAAUCCGGCUUAUCGGCCAGCUUUUUUU
rnacentral:RNase_P_RNA from 1 species